rnacentral:tRNA from 3 species
GGCGGCGUAGCUCAGCUGGUUAGAGCACACGGUUCAUACCCGUGGUGUCGGUGGUUCGAGUCCACUCGCCGCUACCA